rnacentral:lncRNA from 1 species
AUAAAUAUUUUAUUAAAGUUGAAGUUACAAAGAAGCACACCACAUUAAACUGAGAAUUAAGCUGAGGCACAUUUAUAUACUAUAAACUUAGUGUACAGGUUUGGAAGUGGCAAAAUCCCGUUAUCGAGUUCCUACACCAUGAAGUAGGCUUUUUAAAAGACAUAGUCCAGCUACACAGUCCUGGCAUGUGAGAAUUCCUGAGAAAAUCAAAGUUAUCAAAUAGCAGAAUUGGUCAGGGUUAGGAGGCUGAGACAUGGUGUCUCCUGCAGGAGAUCCCGUGUUUCUUAGCAGACGCUAAAGGAGGGGUAGGCACAUGCAUGACACAGCUCCAUCCACACCUGGACUCAGCACAGCUUUUCUUGGUGAAUGGCUCUUGGGAAAAAUAUCUGCUUGAUUUCAGCAAAACUUAAACAAGUAACCCUAGCUUCACUGAACAGUUAGGCAUAGAUGUAGGGGGAGGAUUUGGCCAGUGAUGGUCUGUCCUUCUCACCGGUGAACUCAUAAACAAACCAUCAAAAUGCAGUGUUUUGCCAAAAGGAAAGAUUUAGGAAUGAAACAUGAAAAUUACACCCAAGUGCUGUGGUUGUAGGCACACCUAUGCCCAUUUUUUGCACAGGAGAACUCACUCGAGGUUCCUUCCAGGAGCUCCUGCAGGUCCAGGUAAAUGAGAUAUUUGUUGCUUCUUCUCCUGGACGGCUGGGAACCUGAUUAUACACUGCUAAUGUUUGCUCUUUCAUUUCAGGACUUGGCUGCACUUCAGAAACAGAUGCCAUUUCUUAAUGGUCAAAAUGAUUUCUGCUGUCAAUCUGUAUGCACAGCUAGAAACAACACAACAGUGAGGUAGAGGCGUCCUGGUCUGAAAAUGAGAUGGGGAGCUUGGAAGUCCUACAGUGUGCUUUAUAUUCAGUUACAGGUGAUCUUGUCAGCACCUUCUAGAAGAAAGCUGGUCAGCAUCCUCCAAUGGUCAAGGACCAGGAAGGUUUCCAACAGGACAAGAUACACUUUGCUUUGCAAAGGCUGUUGGAAAAACAUUUCGUUUCUCAGCACCAAAGCCAGCAAGUGUUGGCAGAUUUGUAGCACAUCACGAUGGUGUGUGGUGGUUCCAAAGAACAAUGAGUACCUACAACACCUGAACGGGGUCAAGACUUACACCAUAGAUGAUGCACAACGGCUGCAUGAAAGAGCAGAGUGCUUCAACUAAACAAGAUAAAGACACUGCGAGCACUGCAUCACUGCUUUGAGUUUUCUCAUUCCUUCCUCUUGAUCGUGGUCCAUCUCAACCAUUGCUCAUUUCUCAUGAAAAGAGAAUGUAAUUUGGUUCAGUUUCAGUAAGUUUCAUGAAAAUUUUGUCCCCGUGUAGAUACCUCCAUCCAUCUAUUUUUAAUAGCAUGUUGAUUUUCUAUGUGCUGUGCCGCAGCAGGCAGGGUACAGCUGGAACUCCUUUUCAGUAGAAAUCCGUGCUCAAGGCCUUUAGAAACUGUCAUGCUUUGAGGACACACAGAGAUGACAUCUCUGAGAGAUGUCCUGUUCUGGUCAAAGCCAGCUGCCUCAAGGGAGGCCAAGAGCCCCAGCUCUGUGGUGGACAACAGGCAGGGCAGGAAGACAACUCCACCAACACCCAGCUGUUGGUUUCACAGUGACCAGUGAUGUGGGACUGGUGGCUACAAAAUAAUCUUUAUAGGAACAGGAAUUCAACUCCUGCUUUGACCUAUCAGUUAUGCUAAGACUAUACUAAGAUGGAGCGCAGAUUACUCCAGACAGAUGUCCUCUUUCUGUCAAUUACUUGCAAAUAUGCAGACUUUCAUGGUGUGCUGGUAAAAACUUUUUAGCCCUAUCUGUACUAACUCUUAAAUCAUUACUGCAGAGCACAGUUGUGGCUUUUUGUUGUUGUUGAUGUUGUUUGUUUUGUUUUUCUUCUGAAUAGAAAAAGAUCUCGGAUAGCCAGGUGAUAACCUUGAUGGAGAAAGACACUAUGGCGUAAAAGAUCUAAAAUGGAUUAGUGACAUGCACUGCCCAACAGAGAUAUCAGCCUGAGCCAUGUUAAUGAACACCUUUACAAAUCUCUUUUAAAAUUGUUUAAUGCCAUAAAGAUUACUGGUUAGAUGAGCCCUAGAGCUCUUUCAAGAUGCCCAUUAUUGUACUAUUGGAUUGCAUGCAUAUUUAAAUUAAAUUGCAUUUUAAGUUCUGGCACAUUUGCCUGUUAAACAUUUACACAUUUGAGAUUUUAACAGCCCUGUUUUUUUGCUGUAUGGAGUAAAAAGGGUAGCUGGGGGACUUUGGACAACUACACUGAACUUUAAACAUAUGGAUGUGGGCAGGGAGGGUCUGCUGUCAUUAUUCUCUGCUUUCUCUGGUUAACAAAUAUGGUUUUGGAUUCAGCAGUAGCCACCAGUUUCUUGAGAGGUCAGGGGCUUAAAGCUUGUCUCGGUAAAAGACGCUCUGUUAAGUUACUGCAUAUUGUCCAUUUGUUAGUUUUGUUUAUGCACAUCUCUAGACCUUAAGAUGUCAGACAUGACUAGUUUCAUAAAUAAACUACCUGUUCUAUUCA